UAAAAUGUGUAUUUUUUCAGACCUGUUGACUUAUCAACGAUUAAGAAGAGGAUAGAGACAGGCGAGCUACGUACUACAGUUGACUUCCAAAGAGAUCUUCUUCUAAUGUUCCAAAAUGCAAUCAUGUAUAAUAACUGCAGGACACAUGUUUAUGAGAUGGCCAGUAUUAUGCAAAAUGAAUGCAUGCAGCAUAUAGAGUUAAUGGUGGAAGCUAUGGGUGAGGGUGUUCCGUGGCGAAGGGAUCCUGUGAAUGUUGACAAACUCCACACAAGAGGACGAGGAGAAGCCCCAAAACGAAAGAGAGGAUCUAUGGAAGAUUCCAAAUCUGUCGGUCAGAAACGGAGGAAGGAAGCAUCCAAUUAAUGCAAUGUUUCAAGCAAGAAGAGGUUAUGUACAUAUUUGUUAUAAUUUUUAUAGAUAUUAUUUAUAAAAGUAAAUUCUUAUUUUACUUUGAAAGAAUAUUUCAAACUUUGAAGAAUGUAGACAAAAUAAUUCUAUGUACUUAUCAUAAGGAUAAAAUAAAAUUUGCUCUUCUAAUUUAUAUUUUUUAAGAUUGAUUUUUAUAUCACUCAUAUAUUUAUAAGAUACUUAUGCAAAUACA